CAGCAGCCGCGGUAAUACGAGGGGGGCAAGCGUUGUUCGGAAUUAUUGGGCGUAAAGGGUGCGUAGGCGGUUUGACAAGUCUUAUGUGAAAUCUCUGGGCUCAACCCGGAGUCUGCAUGGGAAACUGUCGGGCUUGAGUAUGGGAGAGGUGAGUGGAAUUUCCGGUGUAGCGGUGAAAUGCGUAGAUAUCGGAAGGAACACCUGUGGCGAAAGCGGCUCACUGGACCACAACUGACGCUGAGGCACGAAAGCUAGGGGAGCAAACAGGAUUAGAUACCCCCGUAGUCCCUGUCUCUUAUAC
rnacentral:rRNA from 1 species